rnacentral:rRNA from 1 species
UAAGGCCCCAGCUUGCUGGGGUACACGAGUGGCGAACGGGUGAGUAACACGUGGGUGACCUGCCCCGCACUUCGGGAUAAGCCUGGGAAACUGGGUCUAAUACCGGAUAGGACCGCACCGUGAGGGUGUGGUGGAAAGUUUUUCGGUGUGGGAUGGGCCCGCGGCCUAUCAGCUUGUUGGUGGGGUAAUGGCCUACCAAGGCGGCGACGGGUAGCCGGCCUGAGAGGGUGGACGGCCACAUUGGGACUGAGACACGGCCCAGACUCCUACGGGAGGCAGCAGUGGGGAAUAUUGCACAAUGGGCGGAAGCCUGAUGCAGCGACGCCGCGUGGGGGAUGACGGCCUUCGGGUUGUAAACUCCUUUCACCAUCGACGAAGGUUUUCUGACGGUAGAUGGAGAAGAAGCACCGGCUAACUACGUGCCAGCAGCCGCGGUAAUACGUAGGGUGCGAGCGUUGUCCGGAAUUACUGGGCGUAAAGAGCUCGUAGGUGGUUUGUCGCGUCGUCUGUGAAAUUCCGGGGCUUAACUCCGGGCGUGCAGGCGAUACGGGCAUAACUUGAGUACUGUAGGGGAGACUGGAAUUCCUGGUGUAGCGGUGAAAUGCGCAGAUAUCAGGAGGAACACCGGUGGCGAAGGCGGGUCUCUGGGCAGUAACUGACGCUGAGGAGC